CGGGGAUUUUCAUUUAUGAAAAUCAGCCGCAUCUUUACCGAAGAAUGAACAUUCGGGUUUACGAAGGAUAAACGCUUACACGGUUAUUAUUAACCAAGUAAAACGUUGUAUCGUUGAGAGAAGAGUGGAAACGCUGUCGAGUGGCGGACGGCUGAGUAACGCGUGGGAAACGUGCCCCAAAGUGAGGGAUAAGCUCGAGAAAUCGAGUCUAAUACCGCAUAUGAUCUUCGGAUUAAAGCAGCAAUGCGCUUUGGGAGCGGCCCGCGUCUGAUUAGAUAGUUGGUGAGGGUAAUGGGCUCACCAAGUCGACGAUCAGUAGCUGGUCUGAGAGGAUGAUCAGCCAGACUGGAACUGAGACACGGUCCAGACUCCUACGGGGGGCAGCAGUAAGGAAUCUUCCACAAUGGGGGCAACCCUGAUGGAGCAACACCGCGUGUAGGAUGAAGGCCUUAGGGUUGUAAACUACUUUUGUUAGCGAAGAAUAUGACGGUAACUAACGAAUAAGGGUCGGCUAACUACGUG
rnacentral:rRNA from 1 species